ACAAAGUCCUGGCAGGCAGUCGGAGUAAUACUGAAGAUAGAAGUGUUAUCUGUGUUUAUUGGGUUUAAAGUGGGCGUAGUGGGCCUAGUAAGUCAGUUGUAAAAUGUGGGAGCUUAACUGUUAAAACUGCUAUUUAUACUGAUGGGCUUGAUUGAGGUUGGAGUAGCUGGAAUGUGUGGUGUAGCGGUGAAAUGCAUAGAUAUCACACAGAACACCGAUCGCGAAGGCAAGUUACUAAGCCUAUACUGACGCUGAGGCACGAAAGCGUGGGGAGCAAAUAGGAUUAGAUACCCGUGUAGUC
rnacentral:rRNA from 1 species